AUUGAACGCUGGCGGCAGGCCUAACACAUGCAAGUCGAACGGUAGCACAGAGAGCUUGCUCUCGGGUGACGAGUGGCGGACGGGUGAGUAACGUCUGGGAAACUGCCCGAUGGAGGGGGAUAACUACUGGAAACGGUAGCUAAUACCGCAUAACGUCGCAAGACCAAAGUGGGGGACCUUCGGGCCUCACACCAUCGGAUGUGCCCCGUUGGGAUUAGCUAGGAGGUGGGGUAAUGGCUCACCUAGGCGACGAGCCCUAGCUGGUCUGAGAGGAUGACCAGCCACACUGGAACUGAGACACGGUCCAGACUCCUACGGGAGGCAGCAGUGGGGAAUAUUGCACAAUGGGCGCAAGCCUGAUGCAGCCAUGCCGCGUGUAUGAAGAAGGCCUUCGGGUUGUAAAAUACUUUCAGCGGGGAGGAAGGCGGUGAAGUUAAUAGCUUCACCGAUUGACGUUACCCGCAGAAGAAGCACUGGCUAACUCCGUGCCAGCAGCCGCCGUAA
rnacentral:rRNA from 1 species